rnacentral:rRNA from 1 species
AAACCAACAGGGAUUGCCUUAGUAACGGCGAGUGAAGCGGCAAAAGCUCAAAUUUGAAAGCUAGCACCUUCGGUGUUCGCGUUGUAAUUUGAAGAAGGUAUCUUUGGAGUUGGCCCUNGUCUAUGUUCCUUGGAACAGGACGUCAUAGAGGGUGAGAAUCCCGUCUGAUGGGGUGUCCAAUUCUUUGUAAAGAGCCUUCGAAGAGUCGAGUUGUUUGGGAAUGCAGCUCUAAGUGGGUGGUAAAUUCCAUCUAAAGCUAAAUAUUGGCGAGAGACCGAUAGCGAACAAGUACAGUGAUGGAAAGAUGAAAAGAACUUUGAAAAGAGAGUGAAAAAGUACGUGAAAUUGUUGAAAGGGAAGGGCAUUAGAUCAGACUUGGUGUUUUGUGAUUAUCUUCCUCUUGUAGGUUGUGCACUCGCAUUUCACUGGGCCAGCAUCGAUUCGGAUGGCAAGAUAAUGACAUUGGAACGUGGCUACCUUCGGGUAGUGUUAUAGCCUUUGUUGAUGUUGCCUAUCUGGAUCGAGGACUGCGUCUUAUGACUAGGAUGCUGGCGUAAUGAUCUAAUGCCGC